rnacentral:lncRNA from 1 species
GUUCACGGCGCAAUGGCAAAGGUCAUUGGUUGGGGGGCUCCCACCCAGGGUUCAAAUCCUGGGUGCGGCACUUUAUUCUGAAUUUAUUUAUUCCAGGAUUUUCCGGCGCUAUGCAUUAAGUGGUAGGCGACGUGCCCCUCGACAGCGAGGCACCUGUGGUGACUUCGUGAACUUCAAGAUUUGCCGACUCAGUCCUUCGAAGGUGCUCAUAGGGGUAGGGUUUGCGUACGUGUGUUCAUAGGGGUGAGUGUAUUUGCCGACUCAGUCCUUCGAAGGUGCUCAUAGGGGUAGGGUUUGCGUACGUGUGUUCAUAGGGGUGAGUGUGCGUGCGUGUUGGCCCUGUGGUGACUUCGUGAACUUCAAGAUUUGCCGACUCAGUACUUCGAAGAUGCUCAUAGGGGUAGGGUUUGCGUACGUGUGUUCAUAGGGGUGAGUGUGCGUGCGUGUUGACUCAGUCCUUCGAAGGUGUUCAUAGGGGUAGGGUUUGCGUACGUGUGUUCAUAGGGGUGAGUGUGCGUGCGUGUUGAGUGUCUACGUUGUACUGUGUAAUCUAAAAAAAUUAGACAAUAUUUA